GAUGAACGCUGGCGGCGUGCCUAAUACAUGCAAGUCGAGCGAACAGAUAAGGAGCUUGCUCCUUUGACGUUAGCGGCGGACGGGUGAGUAACACGUGGGUAACCUACCUAUAAGACUGGGAUAACUUCGGGAAACCGGAGCUAAUACCGGAUAACAUUUGGAACCGCAUGGUUCUAACGUGAAAGAUGGUUUUGCUAUCACUUAUAGAUGGACCCGCGCCGUAUUAGCUAGUUGGUAAGGUAACGGCUUACCAAGGCAACGAUACGUAGCCGACCUGAGAGGGUGAUCGGCCACACUGGAACUGAGACACGGUCCAGACUCCUACGGGAGGCAGCAGUAGGGAAUCUUCCGCAAUGGGCGAAAGCCUGACGGAGCAACGCCGCGUGAGUGAUGAAGGGUUUCGGCUCGUAAAACUCUGUUAUUAGGGAAGAACAAACGUGUAAGUAACUGUGCACGUCUUGACGGUACCUAAUCAGAAAGCCACGGCUAACUACGUG
rnacentral:rRNA from 1 species